ensembl:misc_RNA Metazoa_SRP Metazoan signal recognition particle RNA
GCCAGGUGUGGUGGUGCACACCUGUGGUCCCAGCUACUUGGGAGACUGAGGCAGGAGGAUUGCUUGAGCCUGGGAAAUUGUGGCUGCAGUGGGCUGUGCACACCACUGCACUCCACCCUGGGCAACAAAGUGAGAACCUGUCUCAA